AUGUUAUCAAGAAAGGCUGAGGGAAUGACCCUAUGAAGCCUUAGCAACCCUUUCACUUAGAAAGAAGGUGCUACAUUCUACCCAAGAAUCGCUCAUUACCGAAACUUGAGGAUAGAUAACAU
rnacentral:ncRNA from 2 species